AGCGCUUUUGUUGUUGUUGUUGUGCUAAGCUAAAAGGCAGAAUGCUACAGGCAUGGCCCUAAAGAAUGUAGCAUGCAGCGAGAAUGGACUGCCAUACACGUUAUGUGUCUGUGAGCGAGGGAGGGAGAAAAAGGAAAAGUCCGAGCUGUCACGGAGCAAAAACGGGAGCUGGAAGCAUGUAAAUAUAAUAAUAACCACCGCACCCAAGAAGAGUGCCUGACGAGCCCAUUUAAUCUUGGACCGCGACCUGCUCACUCACCAGAAGGACCUACCUGUUUCAGCCAGUUCCACUCCCUGCGUCCACCUCAGCCUGGCUCACCUUAGUGAAAGUCUCAGGUCUCACAUGUGCCUGCCUGCUCUCCACCUUACCAGCUUCCUCAUCUCUGGAACCCAGCCUGCCCUCUGACAUAUCCCCUCACUACCUCCAUUCUCUGGAUCUCAAUUAAGAUAAGCCAACUCAGUUAUAACAAACAACGUUCCCUCAUUACUCUCCAUCAGCCAGUGCUAACUCAGUUUCUCCCCAUCCACAGACCCUUCCAGAUCCUCAGCAUUCUUACCAUCAUUGCCUGGCUCUGUUCUCCCUGGUUAUGUCUGCACUUUAUAAAUAAACAUCUUAAUCUGU
ensembl:lncRNA